GCUGGGGGCAGUGGCGCAUGCCUGUAAUCCUAGUGCCUCAGGAGGCUGAGGCAGGAGGAUCCUGAGUUCAAAGCCAGCUUCAGCAAGGCACUAAGCAACUCAGUGAGACCCUGUCUCUA
rnacentral:sRNA from 1 species